GUUUAGCUUACCGGGUCUGUAGCUGAUGGUAAAAUUGUAGGGCUGUAGGGCCAAGCUCCAUCUCAGCAGUCUCCCAUUGUCUCCUGAGACCCGGUUAAGCCAAACGAGUGGGUUGUGAUCAGUCACCAGGGAAAACUCUUGUCCAUACAGAUAGGGGCUUAACUUUUUCAAUGCCCAGACCAAGGCCAAACACUCCUUCUCCACUGCCGCAUAACUCACUUCUCUGGGUAACAACUUUCUGCUGAGAUAUGCGACAGGGUGCUCUCCUCCAUCUUCCCCGAC
rnacentral:lncRNA from 1 species